UUUUCAUGAAAUAUAACAA
rnacentral:snRNA from 1 species